rnacentral:rRNA from 1 species
CACGUAGUUAGCCGGGGCUUCUUAGUCAGGUACUGUCAUUUUCUUCCCUGCUGAUAGAGCUUUACAUACCGAAAUACUUCUUCACUCACGCGGCGUUGCUGCAUCAGGGUUUCCCCCAUUGUGCAAUAUUCCCCACUGCUGCCUCCCGUAGGAGUUUGGGCCGUGUCUCAGUCCCAAUGUGGCCAAUCACCCUCUCAGGUCGGCUACUGAUCGUCGCCUUGGUGAGCCGUUACCUCACCAACCAGCCUAAUCAGACGCGGGUCCAUCUUACACCGAUAAAAUCUUUUCCGUCCGGCCAUGUGGCCCUAGCGGGUUAUGCGUAUUAGCAGUCAUUUCUAACUGUUACUCCCCCUGUGUAAGGCUAGGUACCCACGCGUUACUCCACCCGUCCGCCGCUCAGUCAAACUUGUUUCAAGUUACCGAAAAAAUACAAACAGAGUAUCUCGCUCGUACUU